AGCGGCAGACGGGAGAGUAACACGUGGGAACAUACCCUUCAGUUCGGAACAACUCAGGGAAACUUGGGCUAAUACCGAAUACGUCCGUAAGGAGAAAGAUUUAUCGCUGAAGGAUUGGCCCGCGUCUGAUUAGCUUGUUGGUGAGGUAACGGCUCACCAAGGCUACGAUCAGUAGCUGGUCUGAGAGGAUGAUCAGCCUCACUGGGACUGAGACACGGCCCAGACUCCUACGGGAGGCAGCAGUGGGGAAUAUUGGACAAUGGGCGCAAGCCUGAUCCAGCCAUGCCGCGUGGAUGAUGAAGGCCUUAGGGUUGUAAAGUCCUUUCGACGGGGAAGAUAAUGACGGUACCCGUAGAAGAAGCCCCGGCUAACUUCGUGCCAGCAGCCGCGGUAAUACGAAGGGGGCUAGCGUUGCUCGGAAUCACUGGGCGUAAAGCGCACGUAGGCGGCUUUUUAAGUCAGGGGUGAAAUCCUGGAGCUCAACUCCAGAACUGCCUUUAA
rnacentral:rRNA from 1 species